rnacentral:hammerhead_ribozyme from 1 species
UUACUGCUGAGGAGUCCCAUACUCGGACGAAACGGCCGUCCAGUAC